GCACAAGAAAGAAGGCAAGUACCAAUAGACUUACGUAACUGAGCUCAUUUAUGGCUCCAAAAAUAUGUUAAAACAAAAAUCCUUUGCAAGCACAGAUCCUUGUGCAUGUUUAAAAUAUGACAUCCCAGACCCUGUGACAAAGAAAUUAUUUCCUCCACCUUUCCUACAGGGUAGUUUCCAGAAUCAGACGGUUUCUUGAUCUACAUUUGAAAACUGAAAGAAGAACAUUAGGUCCUAAUCUCCAUCAACAAAUUCCUUCCAGCCAAGAACUCCCAGACUGAGCCACGGGGAGGGAGGCAUUCUCGAGAACCGAUGGGAAGAUCAACCUCAUUUUAUUGGUUUGGAGGACAGCCGGACCUCUAAGGCGUCCAUGUGGUAUGAUUGGGAGGAUCACUCAUCCUGGAAAAAGCCAGUUGCCAUGUUAUGAGAACCUUCAAGUGAUCCUAUGGAAAAGCGCAAAUGGCAAGAAACUAAAGCCUUUUUCCAAUAGUCAGAGAGAAACUGAGGCCUCAUGCCAAUAAUCAUGUAAGUGAACCAUCACAUGAGCAGAUCUUCCAGCCUUAGUCAAGCUUUCAGGUGACCACAGCCCUGGCCACCAUUGUGACUCUCACUUCAGGAGAGGCCCUGAGCCCAAACUACCCAGCUAAGCUGUUUCUGAGUUCUUGACCCACAGAAACUGUGGGAUA